rnacentral:rRNA from 1 species
ACGGGAGACCCAAACGUUAUUCGGAAUUACUGGGCUUACAGAGUUCGUAGGCGGCUCAGAAAGUUGGGUGUGAAAUCCCUCGGCCCAACCGAGGAAUUGCGCUCAAAACUACUGAGCUUGAGGGGUAUAGAGGUAAGCGGAACUGAUGGUGGAGCGGUGAAAUGCGUUGAUAUCAUCAGGAACACCGGUGGCGAAGGCGGCUUACUGGGUACCUCCUGACGCUGAGGAACGAAAGCUAGGGGAGCGAACGGGA